AAAUCUUUUGAGUCAGGAUAGGUGGUUACAUUGAAGGACUGGUCUCUAUACAAUGGAGUGAUAUCUUGUUCAUUAAAGUAAGAGGUAAAUUUCUGAGAGGUUAAUUCGCCAGAGGUUUUUUCAAAAUUAUCUUCAAAGUAAGUUUUGUGCCAGCACUUGCGGUCACACAAUCUGAAGGAAAGUAACUAACAGAAUAUCCACUAAGGUUUCUCAAGGUGAGUUUGUCAUCUCUACUCUUCUGAUGGUCUUCUGGUGAAAUAGGGACCCAAGAUAAUUGUUGACAUAGAAAUCUUUUCAAAGUUACAAGUAAACCAGGAUUAGAUACCCUGCUAUAUUGACUCUAUCGUUAAAGUGGAUCGAUUAUCGGUUAAUCCGGGAAAAGUAAGACUCAUGGCGGUCAAAUACUCUGAUUAGAGGGGAAUGUAGGAUAACAAUGAAACUGCGCAACAAACUCUUCUUCAUUUUGAAUAACUCAUUUUGUACACCGCUAUCUGAAAAUCUUGUUUACAUCGAAGAUUAGCUCCUCUUGUCAAGGAAUAAGGUAAGUUAAGGUGCAGACAAUAAUGAAGAUCCUAUGUGCCUCAGAGCAACGGAAGAUUUUCUUAGUCUUUGAAAGGUCUGGGAAGAGUGAAUUUAAGAGUAAUGGGAGUUAACCACACCCUCAUGAAUGAGAAAUAUUUGACGUACAAAUUGCCCGUCACUCCGUAAGUGGAGAAGUCGUAACACAGUUGGCCUACUGGAAGGUGGGCCAGGAUUUAA
rnacentral:ncRNA from 1 species